ACUGUGAAGGAAAGGUGAAAAGAACCCCGGGAGGGGAGUGAAAGAGAACCUGAAACCCUGUGUCUACAAGCUGUGGAAGUACUUCUUAGGUACGACCGCGUACUUUUUGUAGAACGGUCCGGCGAGCUGCGGGUACUGGCAAGGUUAAGUACUUAAGGUACGGAGCCGUAGGGAAACCAAGUCUUAAUAGGGCGAAUCAGUCAGUACGUGCAGGCCCGAAACCGGGUGACCUAUCCAUGUCCAGGUUGAAGCCGCCGUAAAAGGCGAUGGAGGACCGAACCCACAUCCGUUGAAAAGGGUGGGGAUGAGGUGUGGAUAGCGGAGAAAUUCCAAUCGAACCCGGAGAUAGCUGGUUCUCCUCGAAAUAGCUUUAGGGCUAGCCUCAUACAAGUCUGCCGGAGGUAGAGCACUGAAUUUCCGCGGGGGCGUCAAAGCCUACCAAAGAAUAUCAAACUCCGAAUGCCGGACAGAUGGUGUAUGGGAGUCAGACUGUACGAGAUAAGUUGGACAGUCAAAAGGGAAAGAGCCCAGACCGCCGGCUAAGGUCCCAAAGUGGGUGUUAAGUGGAAAAGGAUGUGGGAUCUCUAAGACAACCAGGAUGUUGGCUCAGAAGCAGCCAUUCAUUAAAAGAGUGCGUAACAGCUCACUGGUCGAGAGGUCCUGCGCCGAAAAUGUCCGGGGCUGAAACACCACACCGAAGCCGCGGAACUCGUAAGAGUUGGUAGAGGAGCAUUCUUAGGGGAGGGAAGCAUUACCGGAAGGGGAUGUGGACUGCUAAGAAGAGAGAAUGCCGGAAUGAGUAGCGAGAGCAAGGUGGGAAUCCUUGCGGCCGAAUAUCCAAGGUUUCCAGAGUAAAGCUGAUCUGCUCUGGGUAAGUCGGGGCCUAAGGAGAGGCAGAGAUGCGUAUCCGAUGGACAGCAGGUAAAAGAUUCCUGCACCCCUUGUUAUCAGAACUGCGGGGACACGGGAAGGGAAGCAGAGCCGGGAAUGGAAAGCCCGGUGCAAGCGAAGUAGUCGCAGGAUUGGAAAAUCCGUCCUGCAUGAGACGAAGGCGUGAUGCGGAGCGAAACAAAGUAGCGAAGCUGCGGCCCCUUCCUGUCGAGAAAAGCCGCUAUCGUGUAGCAAGGGCCCGUACCGUAAACCGACACAGGUGGAUGAGGAGAGGAUCCUAAGGCCGGCGGGAGAAGUGUUGUUAAGGAACUCGGCAAAAUGACUCCGUAACUUCGGGAGAAGGAGUGCUGCGCAAGCAGCCGCAGAGAAAUGGCCCAAGCAACUGUUUAGCAAAAACACAGGUCUAUGCGAAACCGAAAGGUGAGGUAUAUGGGCUGACGCCUGCCCGGUGCUGGAAGGUUAAGGGGAGAGCUUAGCGCAAGCGAAGGUUUGAACUUAAGCCCCAGUAAACGGCGGCCGUAACUAUAACGGUCCUAAGGUAGCGAAAUUCCUUGUCGGGUAAGUUCCGACCCGCACGAAAGGCGUAAUGAUUUGGGCACUGUCUCAACAACACACCCGGUGAAAUUGAAAUACCAGUGAAGAUGCUGGUUACCCGCGCCAGGACGGAAAGACCCCAUGGAGCUUUACUCCAGCCUGAUACUGGGAUUCGGUAUUGCAUGUACAGGAUAGGUGGGAGGCUAAGAACUUAUGGCGCCAGCCGUAAGGGAGCCAUUGUUGGGAUACCACCCCUGCAGUACUGGGUUUCUAACCUGCGCCCGUGACCCGGGCGGGGGACAAUGUCAGGCGGGGAGUUUGACUGGGGCGGUCGCCUCCGAAAGGGUAUCGGAGGCGCUCAAAGGUCUCCUCAGGAUGGUUGGAAACCAUCCAGAGAGUGCAAAGGCAGAAGGAGGCUUGACUGCGACACCGACGGGUGGAGCAGGUACGAAAGUAGGACUUAGUGAUCCGGUGGCAUAACGUGGGAUUGCCAUCGCUCAACGGAUAAAAGCUACCCUGGGGAUAACAGGCUUAUCACUCCCAAGAGUUCACAUCGACGGAGUGGUUUGGCACCUCGAUGUCGGCUCAUCGCAUCCUGGGGCUGUAGUAGGUCCCAAGGGUUGGGCUGUUCGCCCAUUAAAGCGGUACGCGAGCUGGGUUCAGAACGUCGUGAGACAGUUCGGUCCCUAUCCGGCGCGGGCGCAGGAUAUCUGAGAGGAGCUGUCCUUAGUACGAGAGGACCGGGAUGGACCGUCCGCUGGUGGACCGGUUGUCAUGCCAAUGGCACGGCCGGGUAGCCAAGACGGGAAGGGAUAAACGCUGAAGGCAUCUAAGCGUGAAGCCCCCCUCAAGAUGAGAUAUCCAGACUCGA
rnacentral:rRNA from 1 species